rnacentral:misc_RNA from 1 species
UGUUCCUGUUCUCAUGGACCAGACAG